GUAGGAUUACAAACUCCUGUAGAUCUAUCUGACAGAUUGCGUAUAACUCUUAUUGGGGAGAGGAAAAAUGUGUUUGGCCUAUAACUCAAGAUCUGUUGGUUCGACAAAUAUUGGAUAAAAUUUGUUUCGAUCGGUUAAGAGACAUGCUUUUAGAAGAAAAGGAUAAAGCAAUGACAGAUGCCAAAACAAACAACAUUAGGGAUUGCAAAGGCAUGUCAAGGGAAUGGAUCAUAAAUGAAAUCUAGGAUGCUCUUAUCAAUACGGUACAGGGUACAAAAGAAUGGCAAAAUAAAUCACGAAAAGCAAGGCAAAAUCGUUUAACGCCAAAAGAAGGAAACAUUCCAAAGCACAUUGGUAGUUCAGUUCCAUUUGUUGUCAUGCAAAAAGGAUGGCAAUUGAGAUGAAAUGAAAUGUUAGCUUUUUGGAAGUGUUCAACCACACUCAUAAGCGUUUAGGGGGUCAUGG